UACGUAGGGUGCAAGCGUUGUCCGGAAUUAUUGGGCGUAAAGAGCUCGUAGGCGGUCUGUCGCGUCGGAUGUGAAAAUCCAGGGCUUAACCCUGGACCUGCAUUCGAUACGGGCAGACUAGAGUUCGGUAGGGGAAACUGGAAUUCCUGGUGUAGCGGUGAAAUGCGCAGAUAUCAGGAGGAACACCAAUGGCGAAGGCAGCUCGCUGGGACGGUACUGACGCUGAGGCGCGAAAGCUAGGGGAGCAAACGGG
rnacentral:rRNA from 1 species